rnacentral:lncRNA from 1 species
UUUUUAGUAUUGAAAUUACAUUAAAAUAGUGUGAUUUUGACACUAAAAAAUAAUAUUAUAGGUUGGAGAUGCUCUAAGGCCAAGUCCAACCACACGGUAAAACAGCAAAAUAGUGCAUUGAUUUGAUGUUUCCUCUCUCCAACCCAACGGUAUAUCAAACUGCAUUUUAGUGUCAUUUUCCUUUUUGCUACAGUGACACACCAUAUUUGGUGCAACACUGUAGCAGACGGCAAAAGUUUUUUUUUUGUUUUUUUUUUGUUAAAACUGUUUAUUUAUGUAUUGUUUAAUUAUAUUUGAUUUGUAUGAUUAGUUUAUAAUUGAAUGAAUUUUUUUAAGUUAUAUCACCAUUGUUUUGUUAUAUUUUAAUUGUUAUAAAUAUUAGGGUGUAUAAAACAAAUAUAAAAUUAAAUUUUAAAUACAUAAC